rnacentral:rRNA from 1 species
GAGUGAAAAAGAACCUGAAACCGUGUACGUACAAGCAGUGGGAGCACCCUUUAGGGUGUGACUGCGUACCUUUUGUAUAAUGGGUCAGCGACUUAUAUUCUGUAGCAAGGUUAACCGUAUAGGGGAGCCGCAGGGAAACCGAGUCUUAACUGGGCGUUAAGUUGCAGGGUAUAGACCCGAAACCCGGUGAUCUAGCCAUGGGCAGGUUGAAGGUUGGGUAACACUAACUGGAGGACCGAACCGACUAAUGUUGAAAAAUUAGCGGAUGACUUGUGGCUGGGGGUGAAAGGCCAAUCAAACCGGGAGAUAGCUGGUUCUCCCCGAAAGCUAUUUAGGUAGCGCCUCGUGAAUUCAUCUUCGGGGGUAGAGCACUGUUUCGGCUAGGGGGUCAUCCCGACUUACCAACCCGAUGCAAACUACGAAUACCGAAGAAUGUUAUCACGGGAGACACACGGCGGGUGCUAACGUCCGUCGUGAAGAGGGAAACAACCCAGACCGCCAGCUAAGGUCCCAAAGUCACAGUUAAGUGGGAAACGAUGUGGGAAGGCACAGACAGCCAGGAUGUUGGCUUAGAAGCAGCCAUCAUUUAAAGAAAGCGUAAUAGCUCACUGGUCGAGUCGGCCUGCGCGGAAGAUGUAACGGGGCUAAACUGUGCACCGAAGCUGCGGCAGCGACACUAUGUGUUGUUGGGUAGGGGAGCGUUCUGUAAGCCUGCGAAGGUGGCCUGUGAGGGUUGCUGGAGGUAUCAGAAGUGCGAAUGCUGACAUAAGUAACGAUAAUGCGGGUGAAAAGCCCGCACGCCGGAAGACCAAGGGUUCCUGUCCAACGUUAAUCGGGGCAGGGUGAGUCGACCCCUAAGGCGAGGCCGAAAGGCGUAGUCGAUGGGAAACAGGUUAAUAUUCCUGUACUUGGUGUUACUGCGAAGGGGGGACGGAGAAGGCUAUGUUAGCCGGGCGACGGUUGUCCCGGUUUAAGCAUGUAGGCGGAGGU